GAUGAAGAACGUAGCGAAAUGCGAUAAGUAAUGUGAAUUGCAGAAUUCAGUGAAUCAUCGAAUCUUUGAACGCACAUUGCGCCCGCCAGUAUUCUGGCGGGCAUGCCUGUUCGAGCGUCAUUUUAACCAUCAAGCCCCCGGCUUGUGUUGGGGACCUGCGGCUGCCGCAGGCCCUGAAAACCAGUGGCGGGCUCGCUAGUCACUCCGAGCGUAGUAAUACAUCUCGCUCAGGGCGUGCUGCGGGUUCCGGCCGUUAAAAAGCCUUAUUUACCCAAGGUUGACCUCGGAUCAGGUAGGAAGACCCGCUGAACUUAAGCAUAUCAAUAAGCGGAGGA
rnacentral:misc_RNA from 1 species